rnacentral:sRNA from 1 species
UGCAAGCAUUUGCAAUGAAAAUCCUUUUUUCUUGAAAAAAGAUUGUAAUGGAAAGCCGGAAAUAGC